rnacentral:pre_miRNA from 1 species
CAGCUACUCCCUCCGUUCGGAAAUACUUGUCCUAGAAAUGGUUGUAUGUAGACUUAUUUUAGUUCUAGAUACAACCAUUUCUAAGACAAGUAUUUCCGAACGGAGGGAGUAAAUG